rnacentral:tRNA from 1 species
UGGGUUGUGGCUCAGUGGUAGAGCACUUGCCUAGCAUGUAUGAGGCACUGGGUUCGAUUCUCAGCGCCACAU